UACGGAGGGUGCAAACGUUGCUCGGAAUCAUUGGGCGUAAAGCGCACGUAGGCGGCCUGUUAAGUCGGAUGUGAAAUCCCUCGGCUCAACCGAGGAAGUGCAUUCGAAACUGGCAGGCUUGAAUAGGGAAGAGGGUCUCGGAAUUCCCGGUGUAGAGGUGAAAUUCGUAGAUAUCGGGAGGAACACCAGUGGCGAAGGCGGAGACCUGGGCCCAUAUUGACGCUGAGGUGCGAAAGCGUGGGGAGCAAACAGG
rnacentral:rRNA from 1 species